AGAUAUUUGACUAGAACCUACAAAGGCCGCUUCCAUAGCUGGUAAAGGCUCAGGAUGUGAGCGACACACAGCGUCAUCCAUGUCGAGCAGCGUGCAGCAGGGAUUUCUGAGGACUGCACUGGUGGAAAACCUGUCUCUACAAGCUCUCUGCGGGUAAAUACAUGCACAAACAGACAUAAUUGCCCUGCUGUGAAUGAAGCGUGAGGCAUUGCCAAGCCAGCUGAGGGACAUCUUCUUUCUCCUGGUCUAGGAUGCCUGAAACACCUCAACAGCCUCCCAUCAAUGUGGAGGAGUAGCAGCUCUACACGGAGCUCCUCACCCUCUCGAUAAAGCUAAGCUCAGAUGUCCUGUGGAGGAAACUCACUCAUUCUUUGGGUUUAAGCAUAGGGGGUUUAUAAUAACACCAUGUAGGAACAGUUAAGAUAUGAAACCAUGGACUGAGACCAUAAUUCUAUCAUGUGCAUUUUUAAUUGCAUUACCUUUUAAUUUUCUUUGCAAACAGAUCAGUCUCCCCCUGCUGGUCACUAGGAUUAUGCCACUUUAAGGCAUUUCUGCACUGGGUUUACUUUUCAGACCUGAACGUUCUGUUAAUCUUUCAUAUAGAGCUCAAACGGUCUGAUUUUCCAAUGCAGAACAAAUCAAGAAAAGAAAAAGUCAUAAUUAUGAUUUUUGAAAGUGUUAAGUAUUUGUAGGUGUUUUAGGAAAGUGUGAGCGUCAGUUUAUUACCAGUCCUGUACAUGACGACGUCAGCCUACGUCACUAAACUCGAAUACGGAAUUGUACAAAAUCAAACCAUCUGAUUUGUAGGGGGGAAAAAAAAGAAAAGAAAGAAAGUGGUGAGCAGAUGAUGGGAAAAAUGAACAAAGUCUUGAAAAUGUUGCUACCCGAUCUAAACAAAACUUGCUUUAAUGUUUAUUUCAGCUUUGUAAAGACCCUCCGUCCCACUCCCCCCACAGAAAAUAAAUAAACAAACAAACAAUAAAAAACAAACAAAAAGAACGUAAAUGUCAAACUGGGCCCGUGUGUUCAUUACGUUUAAUUUUCAAAUAAGUGAUGGCAAAAUGACACUAUUUACAGGAGAGAAUAUGUAUGAUUUGUACAAAGAAAUAUACAUGCAAAACAAAAAAAACCAACAAAAGAACAAUUUAUGAAACAAAAACGGGAAAACAAAAACACAAAGCGACAAAAACAGAAAAAUCAACAAAAACCCAAACUGAGGUAUCCAGUCCAGUUUUCUUGUUUUUAAAUGGCCUGUGUGUACACCUUUUGAAAUAAAUUAAAAAAAGGUUAAUAGGGGGCUGAUUUAAUCAUAACCCCUUACUGGACUUGUGUGCUAUUGUUACCAUAGCAAUCUUGUGUAGUUACUGGUUAGUUACCAUUUAAAGGUGUUUUGUUGUUGUUGUUUUUUUUAAAUGGAAGAAAUAUUUUGGCAACAUGUAUCUGUACAUAAAGUGAAAACAACACUUUGUAAGUAAAAUCUUGCAUUCAGCUCCCAUCCAAGAGUACAUUUCAGUCCUUUAAUCUCCCGCCUUUUUAAUAAAGGUAUAAAGAGAGUUAACUAAAAGCGUUCCUCUGACAUUUACUCGUGUAAACAAUCAUUUAACAUGGUCAUGGAUGGCCUAACUCAAGUGAAACGUAAUCACAAUAAAACCAUUUCUUUAUUAAGUACUAUAAAGCUAGAGCAACUUUGGUGUACCAAUACUACAGAGGCAUACAGUACAAAAAAAAAAAAGUUAAAUUAGUUUUGAUCAAAACGUGAUGAUUGUAGAUCGUGACCUCUGACGCGGCCUGGCCCCGGAGCGGUCGUUAACACUCGGCGAUCGAAUAAACACAAACUACCAGCAGUGCUUGCAGUACCAAGUACAUGCUUUUCUCUAGAUUUAUUACAGAUACAACAGAUGUUUUCAUAAAUAGUUGCAUAAAAUGUUAAA